rnacentral:lncRNA from 1 species
AAUUGACAAGAACCAUACACACUAAGUUACCUAUAAUAGGUAUAGUUAAGGCCACUAUUACUCGCUAUAGCUACUACUCUACCCACUAUAAUACACACUAUUACGAGACUAUACAGUAGUAAGAGAACACACUACGAGCUAUACAAAAGACUACUACACUAUAAUACAAGAGAAAGUACUAAUCCGAAGAUAACACACUAACUCACUAUGAGAUACUCUAUUCGCUACACACUACGCCCAGAGUUUUCCGACAGGAGAACGACGCUACAUGUAUAGAUCUAUACGGGGCAGACACUAUUACAUCCCGACUGUUAAUUUCAGUCCGAGCCGUGCAGGCCCAGGGAUGCCGCUACUUCACUACACUGUGCAUGACCGGGAAGGUCAUGGGGUCCUCUAUUAUUCACACUAUCGGUAGCAUACAAGGAAUACACUAUAUCCACACUAAAAUACUAAACUAAAGGCUAAGUUAACAUCCCGAAGUAAACAAGUAUCUAACACUAAAGGAAGUUUGCACCUCUAUUACUGACUACAGGCAUAACCUAUUUUAAUACCUUACUUAUUGGAGAUUCACUAAUAUACUUUUACACUAAACGGUUUUCAAAGAUGAAAAUUACAUGUUUUCUUAAAGGUUUUCACUUACAAUGUAUUUUCUGGAAAAUAUAGGAUUUUCUAGGGUUUUCUACUACUUAUGAAUGUAAAUUGCAGCUUUUCAUACUAUCAGUUCUAAUGCCUUUUAUACAAAACUCACACUAAACUCUUAUGAACUCACCAGCUUUAUGCUGAUACUCGUUUUCAAAAUAACUUGUAUCCUCAGGUCAAAGAUAGACAGGUACAGGUGCAGCAUUUUGGAGAAGGUGGAGCAUACAAGAUCCAUCUCUUAUUUUUGUAUUACUUUUGGUGUUUGUUGAACAUUACAAAACACACUUGUAAUUAAACUCACUAUGUAAUGCAAUGGUUGUAUGUUUCUUGUUUUUACUAUUAUGCAAUUGUGAUGAUACUGUACAUGACGUCCUCCACCCCGAAACGUAUUCCGCCAUUAUCGGUUUUGGGGUGUGACAGAUUGGUAUCAGAGCAUUGUUUAUAGUGAAUCAAGUAUAUCAAUCUAUAAAAGAUAGACGAACUAUAAACACUUUGGGACUAAAACAGUCUGACCAAGAAUAUAUACUGUUAAGUAUCUAAAAGAUUUAACUAAGUAUAUAUACACACACAUCUCUAUAAAACAUAGAAGUCAGUAUCACGCUAGAACAGAACAAAAGUAUUAAGAUUGUUGGACAACACAGUUGGGUUUAGAGACAUAUAGUCACAUUUGGGGGGAUGUAGCCUGAUAAACUACGUUUUCCUGGGAGUGACUAGCAUGUGCCUAAGCUUGGUUGUGUUGUUGCAACAAGUCUAAAAACUUACCAACACUACCAUAAUAACGUUACCAUAAGGAUACUAUAGGAGUAUUCUGUAUCUCUAAAACACACGUACGUGAUAACUAAAAGGGUCGUUACUAGUAGGACAAUAGUUGCUAAGUGGAUACACCACGGAUACAUGUGACUAGGGCGCUAUAGACUCAGAAUCUGUAGCCUUUGUUUCAUUCCAUGUUCUUGUUUGAUUGGGGGUCUGAAGUUAGGGUUGCUUAUUCGAAGGACUAUCUUGCUUCGAUUACAUGUAAUCGGUAUGCACUACGCAAGUAGUGGGUCGACUAAUAACGAUUCAUCUUAUAUGUAUCUUAGAGUAGUACGUCUAUUAACCUUUCCUUUCCCCCUUUUCUCGCAUAGAUAGCAUGCCUGGCUUUCACCAUCUCGGUGAUCCGUACUAUCCAAACCAGGGCAAUGGAGGAUGGCUCGAGGAGGAGUCAGACGAUGAUCACCCGAUCCCUUUGGAUGAUCAUCAUGCUAAAGGUUUCUCGGAUAGCUCCAGCUCCGAACCAGAAGUUAACAACCAACCUCCUGAAGCUCCGAACCCCAACCCCCGUCCGGCAUUUCAGGGUCCCACUCCUAUGUGGUCCAUAUCCUUGCACCGAUGAAGCGAGGAGCAGGGCCAGCCCUUACCUUACAAUGGAGACCGAAGCUUCUACAACAUAAGCGAAGGGGGAUCAGCAGACCGGGUUCUUCCCAUCGUGAUCCGAAGGAUUGCCAGGAAUGUUGAGCAGGGUCAAGCUGCUAUUGGUCGAGUUGUAGAAGUGGAUGCCAACUCAAAUCUCAUCACGGUUCGCAUCCGCCAACUUGAAGAAGCCAUGGACAGGACAAGGAGGACCAACGAGGCUCUGCAGCAUCAGCUGGCUGCAUCUAGAGCCGAAGUUAGGGAACUCCGAGCACGCCAAAGGACUCAUGAUCGACACCUUCAAGAAGUUAUGCGUCAGCUAGCGGAUCUGAGGAUUCGCCCAACAAGUAACCGUCGCCAGUAGAAGACGUCUAGUUACCUCACUCUUUUGUUUAAAGGACUAGCCUUUCCUCUCUAUGUUCCGUAGAUCUCUUGUCUGUAAACAUUCCUAGCUUAAAAAUACUCUAACUAGACCUCCAAACUGCCAACAUUUUCCUUAUGGUUUGAUGUAAGACCUACUGUUAGGUCAAUUUUCAUGAACUUGUUACAUUAUUAAUACCAGUAUAUUGGCAGUUGAGUACUCUAUUACUAUGACUCUCAUUCUGAUCUUUGAUUAUGUUGAUUUAAUCCAUGAAACACUCUAUUCACAUUUGCACUAGACUCUUACUAUUGCUAUCAUUUCUAUGAUCUUCAAGUGAAAGAUGCCUCCACGAAAGCGUCCAAGAAGAGGAAGACGAGCAACUCAAACCCCUCCUCCACCACCACCUCCUCCGCAGUUCGAUCCAGUGCUGUUCCAAACAGCUGUGACCGUGGCUGUGACAGCAGCCAUGACCCAAAUGAACUCCGGAGACGCAAGCGGUGGUAACUCCAGGUUUGGUGAAGUCCAUCAAAGAGUGCAUGGAUGCACUUAUAAGGACUUCAUGAACUGUAAACCUACCUUCUUCGAUGGUACCGGAGGAAUCCUGGCAUUGUCUCAAUGGUUCGAAAGAACCGAAGUUGUAUUUGAAAUGUGCUCUUGCCCCGAAGAGAGCAAAAUCAAGUUCGCUACUGCUACCCUCACUAACAGGGCCUUGACAUGGUGGAACGGCCAUGUCAGCGCACUCUCCCUGUUUACAGCCAAUGCCAUGGGCUGGGACACACUAAAAGAUCUCAUGAGAGGGGAGUACUGCCCUAGGGGCGAGGUUCAAAAACUUGAGGAGGAACUCUGGAACCUCAAGAUGAAAGGGACUGACAUAACAACUUACACGACCAGGUUCUGCGACUUGGCGGCUAUGUGUCCCAACAUGAUCCCAUCCGAAAGCAAGAAGAUUGAACGAUACAUCUGGGGUUUAGUGCCCCCGUAUCGAGGAAACUUUCUCGCCUCACGCCCUACCACCUUCGACAGCGCCAAGGAAUUGGCUCAAGGUCUGAUCAACCAUGAAGUCUCUUCCACUCCAGCAACAGAAACCCCCACUACCACUGCACCACCCGAUUCGUCUGACAGAAAAAGGAAGCAAUGGGAUAAGAAGAAAGGCAAGAAAACAGAAACCUCCUCCAAGGACCAGCAAAUUGUGGCGGUCCAUGCUGCCACCACUCCAGCCGCACCUGCCCUGCCAAAAGCUUAUAGUGGGAAUCUGCCCAAAUGUCCCAAAUGUCCUUUCCACCACCACGGCCCCUGCCGUGAAUUGCAGUGCUCCAACUGUGGCCGAAAAGGCCAUAUUGUUCGAUUUUGCAAGGCCCCUCCCAAACCUAUCUCGCAAGUUCCCGAUUCAGGAGUGACCCCGAUGUGUUAUGGCUGCGGUGAAGCUGGUCAUUUCAAGAAGAACUGUCCGAAGGCUGCGAAUGUUGGGGGAACUGGAAGACUACUCACUAUUGGUCACAAUGAGGCGGUAGCGGAUCCCACAGUAGUCACGGGUACGUUUCUUCUCAACAACUCUUAUGCAUGUGUCUUAUUCGAUAGUGGUGCAGAAAGAAGCUUCAUAAAUCAAAACUCUAAACACUUACUCAAACAAACUCCUCAACCACUAAAAGAAACAUUCGUCGUAGAAAUGGCUAAUGGGAAGACUGAAAGCUCUAACGAAAUCUACAUAGGUUGUACCCUCACGUUACACGAUCACCGAUUUCCAAUCGAUCUUAUACCAGUCUCAAUCAAAAAUUUUGAUGUCAUUGUUGGUAUGGACUGGUUGAGUCUUCAUCGCGCCGAUAUCCUAUGCUCCGACAAAGCCAUUCGCCUGAAUCUUCCAAAUCACGAAGCCCUAUUGAUCUAUGGAGAUAAACCCGGUACGGGCCUCCGUAUCAUCUCCAGUAUUCAGGCCCAUAAAUAUUUGCGCAAGGAAUAUCACGCCUUUCUUGCUCACAUUGUCGACACUAGCCAAAAAUCGAAAGAUCCAAAGGACAUUCCCAUUGUAUGAGAAUUCCCUGAUGUUUUCCCAAAGGAUCUUCCAGGUCUACCUCCCAAACGUCAGGUUGAGUUCAGAAUCGACCUAGUCCCAGGAGCUACUCUAGUAGCUAAGUCGCUCUAUCGUCUAGCGCCUGCCGAAAUGCAACAACUAUCAGGUCAACUCAACGAGCUGCUCAACAAGGGUUUCAUAAGACCGAGCUUCUCACCUUGGGGAGCUCCAGUCUUGUUCGUGAAGAAGAAGGAUGGAGCGUUUCGUAUGUGCAUCGAUUAUAGGGAACUCAACAAACUCAGAGUCAAAAAUCGUUAUCCUCUCCCUCGUAUCGACGAUCUAUUCGACCAACUGCAAGGAGAAAGUUACUUCUCCAAGAUUGAUCUUAGAUCCGGGUAUCACCAGUUACGGGUGCUUGAGGAAGAUGUCCCGAAGACCGCCUUUCGAACCCGUUACGGGCAUUUUGAGUUCGUAGUGAUGUCCUUUGGACUGACUAACGCCCCCGUAGUAUUCAUGGACUUGAUGAAUAGGGUGUGUCGUCCAUAUCUAGAUUAGUUCGUCAUCGUCUUCAUUGAUGAUAUACUCGUCUAAUCUCGAAGCGAGGAAGAACAAAAGGAUCACCUGCGACGAGUCCUGGAAACGCUGCGAUCAGAGAAGUUAUAUGCGAAGUUCUCUAAGUGUGAGUUUUGGAUCCGAAAAGUUGAAUUCUUAGGACACGUGGUUAGUGUAGAAGGAAUCCACGUGGAUCCCUCCAAAAUUAAAGCUAUUGAGAACUGGUCAGCACCGAAGACGCCUACAGAAAUUCGCCAAUUUCUAGGCCUCGCUGGGUACUACCGCAGAUUCAUUCGAAACUUCUCUCGGAUUGCGAAGCCUCUCACCAUGUUGACACAGAUGGGUGUAUCAUUUGACUGGGAAGAGAAACAGGAGAAGGCAUUCCAGACCCUGAAGCGAGCUUUAUGCACCGCACCGGUAUUAUCCCUUCCCGAAGGGACAGAGGAUUUUGUUGUAUACUGCGAUGCAUCAAAUCAGGGGCUCGGUUGUGUCUUGAUGCAACGAGGUAAGGUCAUCGCCUAUGCCUCCAGACAGCUAAAGACACAUGAGGUGAACUACACUACUCACGACCUCGAGUUAGGAGCUGUCGUCUUCGCACUAAAAAUCUGGAGACACUACUUGUAUGGGACGAAGAGCGUGGUGUACACUGAUCACAAGAGCCUCCAACACAUACUGAACCAGAAAGAACGUAACAUGAGGCAGCGUCGAUGGGUCGAACUACUCAGUGAUUACGAUUGUGAAAUCUGAUACCACCCAGGGAAAGCCAACGUAGUAGCAGACGCCCUGAGUAGGAAGGAGUAUUCUGGACGAACAACCAAGUCAUUGACAAUGACUAUCCAUUCGCAUCUAUCCACACAGAUCAAGGAGGCCCAGCUGGAAGCCUUAAAGCCUAAGAAUGUAACGGGAGAAUCCCUGCACAGAAUGGAUAAAAUUUUGGAGGUCAAGGGUGACGGAGCCUACUACUUCAUGGACCGAAUCUGGACUCCGCGCCAUGGUGGUUUCAGAGACAUGGUCAUGAGGGAAGCACACAACACUCGCUACUCCGUCCACCCAGGCUCAGAUCAGAUGUAUCUGGAUCUCAAAAAGCUAUACUGGUGGCCUAACAUGAAAGCGGAGAUCGCUACCUUCGUGAGCAAGUGCCUUACUUGCGCGAAGGUCAAGGUCGAAUAUCAAAAGCCAUCAAGACUCCUCCAACAACCAGAGAUACCGGAAUGGAAAUGGGAGCGGAUUACAAUGGACUUUAUAACCAAGCUACCCAAGACAGCGGGUGGGUUGGAUACCAUUUGGGUCAUCGUAGACAGAUUGACCAAGUCUGCGCACUUCCUACCCAUCAAGGAAUUGGACAAGAUGGAGAAGCUCACAAGAACAUACAUAAAGGAAAUAGUGCGGCUGCAUGGCAUCCCUAUAUCUAUUAUCUCGGACAAAGAUAGUAGAUUUACCUCUAGAUUUUGGCAAUCACUACAAAAGGCGCUAGGGACGAGACAGGACAUGAGUACAGCCUACCAUCCUCACACUGACGGACAAAGUAAGAGGACGAUCCAAACUCUAGAAGAUAUGCUGCGAGCUUGUGUGAUCGACUUCGGUAAAUCGUGGGAUACACACUUACCUCUUGUGGAGUUUUCGAACAACAAUAGUUAUCAUACGAGCAUCAAGGCAGCUCCAUUUGAAGCCCUCUACGGCCGGAAGUGCAGAUCUCCUCUGUGCUGGGUUGAGGUGGGUGACACUCAGUUAGCUAAAGGACGAGUUCCUGAUAGCGCUCUCACUGGUCCGGAGAUUAUUUGAGAAACGACCAAGAAGAUUGUACAGAUUCGCGAACGAUUAAAAACCGCUAGGGAUCGACAGAAAAGCUACGCAGACAAACGGAAGAAACCCUUGAAAUUCGCGGUAGGAGACCGAGUCCUUUUGAAGGUCUCACUCUGGAAGGGCACGAUACGCUUCGGAAAGCGUGGAAAGCUGAACCCAAGGUACAUAGGGCCUUUUGAGAUUCUCGCCAGAAUCGGCCCUGUAGCUUACAAACUCAACCUACCCCGAGAGUUAGGCAACAUACACCUUACCUUCCACGUCUCAAACUUGAAGAAAUGCCUGUCCAACGAGACUCUCGUGAUUCCCCUCGACGAGAUCGAAGUUAAUGAGAGCCUCAACUCUGUGGAAGAGCCUGCGGAGAUUAUGGAUCACGAAGUAAAACGAAUGAAACAAAGCCGCAACCCAAUUGUGAAGGUUCGGUGGAACGCCAAGCGGGGACCGGAAUUUACUUGGGAGCGUGGAGAUCAAAUGAAACUCAAAUAUCCCCAUCUUUUCACAUAGUAGUGUUGAAAUACUUAUCUGUAUGAAUUCUAAAUUUCGGGACGAAAUUCCCCUAAUAGGGGGAUGAUGUGACAACCCGAAUUUAUUGCCAUUACAUAAUCCCGUUUUCACUAAAGAAAUUCGUCGUUAUGUAUCAAUUUCCGUAAUGUUUGGAGUCGCCAUUAAAUAAAUAUCUAUUUAUUUAUAAUUUCUUUACAUUAUCAUUUUAGUAUAAGUAAAUAUAACUUGUAAGUGUUAACCCCGUUUAACCAAAUAAAGUUAUAUUACCUUUCAACCACUUCACCCGGGUAAAAAGUUUUAACCGCAUUAAACUUUAGCAUCGGGUAGCCGUGUACCGGGUGCAAUACCCGAGGCAUUUAUAAAGGAAAUGGACACCACUUUGAACACUUUUUACCACUCGUUCACUCUUUCUCACUAUUUUCUCUCUCUAGACCCGAUUCCGACUCCAAAAUCACGAAUUCCGGCAUCCAAACGUAAGAGUUUCUUCCCUAGCUUGUUCUAAACGUAUUCCAUUGUAUUUAGAACACAAAAAUCACAAGAAUUAGUAGAAAACAUGGAGUUUGGACAUCAAAACACCUAAAACUUGGCCAAAAUUCCCAUUUUUCCUUCCUUUAAGCUUGUAUACUAAUUAAGGAAAUUGCCUAGAUGAGUUUGGACAUCAAAACAUAAGUUUUUAGAGCCUAAAAGAGGGAUUACGGCCCAAGCUUGUGCUUAGGCCGUAAACACCCAUUUUCAAUGUUAAAUUGCCCCAAAAAACUCAUCUAAGGCAUGAUAGAAUUUAGAUAUGAUCCUAGGAAAUGUUUAAGGCCAUAAAGCAACACAUUUUAGAACCUAAAAGGGGAGUUUAUGGCCAAGCCUAUGCUAGGGCCGUAAGUACCCAAUUCCCAUGCUAAAAUGUCCCAAAAACUCACCUAAGGCCUUCUAGAAUUUAGUUAUAAUUUAAGGGAGUGCUUAGGACCAUUUAACAAUUCAUUUUGAGGAACAAAAUGGAGUUUACAGCUCAAGCACAAGCUAGGACCAUAAACUCCCCCAAAUGAAACCAAAUGAAGGUUUUAACACUCCAAAUUGGUCCAAGGCAUUUACUAGAAAAAUAUGGAGUUUAUUUGAGGCCUUAACUUUCACUUUUGGAGGAAAACAAGAGUUUACGGCCAAGCCUAGGGGCUUACGGCCGUAAACUCCCAAGGAGUGGCCUUUAGGCCGUAAACUCCAAGGGAGUAAACUCUUGGACUCCCCCGUUAACCCCUCUUGGACUUAUACGAUUCCCAGGAACCCCUUCUAAGCCCUAAGACCCUGAAUCAAUGCUAGAAUGCCUAAAUAUUUUAAUGAAAAGCAUAAAAUGAUUAAAUCCUUGUAAAAUACAUAUUUCAUAUGAUUUUAGGGUCUUAAAAGGUGCACAAGUCUUUAUUUGGUACAAAACGCUCAACCGACACUUUCACCCGAUUUACCCGAUUUAGCCGAUUUACUCGGUUUCAGGUGAGUUCAUACCCCUUUAAUGAACCUUUCAAAUGUUUUUAUAUGUUUUAGGGAGGGGGGAUACAAGUCAAAUAUACAUGUUUAUGGAAAAAUCACAUGUGAUUCACUAUCCAUAGUUCAAAUCACAUGUGAUUUACCGCUAUGCUUUAUAUAAGGAUUUUACGUCUUCAAAACCAUUUUGGUUAAAUAAACAAUUUUCUAAAUGUUCCCUUUGGAUAAGAGUUUUAUUAAAUAAUUUUUUCUUACAAAAAUGUAACCACACUAAUAUACUUAUAUAAGUAAGACUUGAAGGACUUAGGACCGAUAGCUCGCCUUAUUUCCUGUUCUUGUUUGAUUGUGGGCUUAGAGUAGUAGUUAUCUGUCCGACUGUCGUGGAUUUCUUAGUUAUAUAUCAUGUAUAUUAGUGUUGGAUAUGAGUAUUUUCAUUUCAUCCGAUGCUUAAACCACUAAAUGUACAAGAACCAUACACACUAAGUUAACUAUAAUAGGUAUAGUUAAGGCCACUACUACUCGCUAUAGCUACUACUCUACACACUAUAAUACCCACUAUUACGAGACUAUACACUAGUAAGAGAACACACUACGAGUUAUACAAAAGACUACUACACUAUAAUACAAGAGAAAGUACUAAUCCGAAGAUAACACACUAACUCACUAUGAGAUACUCUAUUCGCUACACACUACGCCCAGAGUUUUCCGACAGGAGAACGACGCUACAUGUAUAGAUCUAUACAGGGCAGACACUAUUACAUCCCGACUAUUAAUUUCAGUCUGAGCCAGGCAGGCCCAGGGAUGCCGCUACUUCCUUACACUGUGCAUGACCGGGAAGGUCAUGGGGUCCUCUAUUAUACACACCAUUGGUAACAUACAAGGAAUACACUAUAACCACACUAAAACACUAAACUAAAGGCUAAGUUAAUAUCCCGAAGUAAACAAGUAUCUAACACUAAAGGAAGUUUGCACCACUAUUAUUGACUUCAGGCAUAACCUACCAUAUUGCAUUACUUAUUGGAAAUUCACUAUUAUACUUUUACAAUAAAUGGUUUUCAAAGAUGAAAAUUACAUGUUUCUUAAAGGUUUUCACUUACAAUGUAUUUCUGGAAAAUAUAGGAUUUUCUAGGUUUUUCUACUACUUAUGAAUGUAAAUUGCAGCUUUUCAUACUAUCGGUUCUAAUGCUUUUUAUACAAAAGCUCACACUAAACUCUUAUGAACUCACCAGCUUUAUGCUGAUACUCGUUUUCAAAAUAACUUGUAUCCUCAGGUCAAAGAUAGACAGGUACAGGUGCAGCAUUUUGGAGAAGGUGGAGCAUACAAGAUCCAUCUCUUAUUUUUGUAUUACUUUUGGUGUUUGCUAAACAUU